rnacentral:rRNA from 1 species
UACAGAGGGUGCGAGCGUUAAUCGGAAUUACUGGGCGUAAAGCGCGCGUAGGCGGCUUUGCAAGUCGGGUGUGAAAUCCCCAGGCUUAACCUGGGAACUGCAUUCGAGACUGUCUAGCUAGAGUAUGGGAGAGGGAAGUGGAAUUUCAGGUGUAGCGGUGAAAUGCGUAGAUAUCUGAAGGAACAUCAGUGGCGAAAGCGACUUCCUGGACCAAUACUGACGCUCAUGUGCGAAAGCGUGGGGAGCAAACAGG